rnacentral:rRNA from 1 species
CGGCAAGGGGGUCAUCCCGACUUACCAACCCGAUGCAAACUGCGAAUACCGGAGAAUGUUAUCACGGGAGACACACGGCGGGUGCUAACGUCCGUCGUGAAGAGGGAAACAACCCAGACCGCCAGCUAAGGUCCCAAAGUCAUGGUUAAGUGGGAAACGAUGUGGGAAGGCCCAGACAGCCAGGAUGUUGGCUUAGAAGCAGCCAUCAUUUAAAGAAAGCGUAAUAGCUCACUGGUCGAGUCGGCCUGCGCGGAAGAUGUAACGGGGCUAAACCAUGCACCGAAGCUGCGGCAGCGACACUAUGUGUUGUUGGGUAGGGGAGCGUUCUGUAAGCCUGUGAAGGUGGCCUGUGAGGGUUGCUGGAGGUAUCAGAAGUGCGAAUGCUGACAUAAGUAACGAUAAAGCGGGUGAAAAGCCCGCUCGCCGGAAGACCAAGGGUUCCUGUCCAACGUUAAUCGGGGCAGGGUGAGUCGACCCCUAAGGCGAGGCCGAAAGGCGUAGUCGAUGGGAAACAGGUUAAUAUUCCUGUACUUGGUGUUACUGCGAAGGGGGGACGGAGAAGGCUAUGUUGGCCGGGCGACGGUUGUCCCGGUUUAAGCGUGUAGGCUGGUUUUCCAGGCAAAUCCGGAAAACCAAGGCUGAGGCGUGAUGACGAGGCACUACGGUGCUGAAGCGACAAAUGCCCUGCUUCCAGGAAAAGCCUCUAAGCAUCAGGUAACAUCAAAUCGUACCCCAAACCGACACAGGUGGUCAGGUAGAGAAUACCAAGGCGCUUGAGAGAACUCGGGUGAAGGAACUAGGCAAAAUGGUGCCGUAACUUCGGGAG